UACAUGGGGUGCAAACGUUGCUCGGAAUUAUUGGGCGUAAAGCGCGCGUAGGUGGUUACCUAAGUCGGAUGUGAAAGCCCUCGGCUUAACUGAGGAAGUGCACCCGAAACUGGGUAGCUAGAGUACUAAAGAGGGUCGCGGAAUUCCCGGUGUAGAGGUGAAAUUCGUAGAUAUCGGGAGGAACACCGGUGGCGAAGGCAGGUCUCUGGGCCACUACUGACGCUGAGAAGCGAAAGCAUGGGGAGCGAACAGG
rnacentral:rRNA from 1 species